CAGGGACCAGAAACCCCAAGUCUGAGUUCCUUCCCCACCCACCUUCUCUGCUGCACAAAUUACCGACCCUCCUCUUAAUUGGGAUAAAUACUGAAAUAACCAAAUAGUAAAUACAACCUUCUCCCUACGCGUUAAAAUCCGCAACUACUUGCUGUAUCUUCGUACACACCGAACAGCCACCAAACAAAGAAGCUGACAAACUUUAAAGAAAAUAAAUCUAAUGCAUGUCCUCCAUCCCA
rnacentral:lncRNA from 1 species